rnacentral:rRNA from 1 species
GAUUAACGCUGGCGGCGUGCCUAACACAUGCAAGUCGAGCGGCAGCGAGUUUUACACUGAAUUCUGGAAGCUUCUAGUUGAAAGAGAAGAUUUAUUCAAGAAUUUUGUGUAAAAUGUCGGCGAGCGGCGGACGGCUGAGUAACGCGUGGGAACGUACCCCAAAGUGAGGGAUAACGCAUCGAAAGGUGUGCUAAUACCGCAUAUGGUCUUCGGAUUAAAGCCUUCGGGCGCUUUGGGAACGGCCUGCGUAAGAUUAGAUAGUUGGUGGGGUAAUGGCCUACCAAGUCGACGAUCUUUAACUGGUUUGAGAGGAUGAUCAGUCAGACUGGAACUGAGACACGGUCCAGACUCCUACGAGAGGCAGCAGUGAGGAAUCUUCCACAAUGGGCGAAAGCCUGAUGGAGCAACGCCGCGUGCAGGAUGAAGGCCUUCGGGUUGUAAACUGCUUUUAUAAGUGAGGAUUAUGACAGUAACUUAUGAAUAAGGAUCGGCUAACUACGUG